GUCCACGCCGUAAACGUUGGGAACUAGGUGUGGGCCUCAUUCCACGAGGUCUGUGCCGCAGCUAACGCAUUAAGUUCCCCGCCUGGGGAGUACGGCCGCAAGGCUAAAACUCAAAGGAAUUGACGGGGGCCCGCACAAGCGGCGGAGCAUGUGGAUUAAUUCGAUGCAACGCGAAGAACCUUACCAAGGCUUGACAUACACCGGAAACACCCAGAGAUGGGUGCCCCGCAAGGUCGGUGUACAGGUGGUGCAUGGUUGUCGU
rnacentral:rRNA from 1 species